AGUGAACGCUGGCGGUAGGCCUAACACAUGCAAGUCGAACGGCAGCACAGUAAGAGCUUGCUCUUACGGGUGGCGAGUGGCGGACGGGUGAGGAAUACAUCGGAAUCUACUUUUUCGUGGGGGAUAACGUAGGGAAACUUACGCUAAUACCGCAUAUGACCUACGGGGGAAAGCAGGGGAUCUUCGGACCUUGCGCGAUUGAAUGAGCCGAUGUCGGAUUAGCUAGUUGGCGGGGUAAAGGCCCACCAAGGCGACGAUCCGUAGCUGGUCUGAGAGGAUGGUCAGCCACACUGGAACUGAGACACGGUCCAGACUCCUACGGGAGGCAGCAGUGGGGAAUAUUGGACAAUGGGCGCAAGCCUGAUCCAGCCAUACCGCGUGGGUGAAGAAGGCCUUCGGGUUGUAAAGCCCUUUUGUUGGGAAAGAAAAGCAGCAGGUUAAUACCCCGCUGUUCUGACGGUACCCAAAGAAUAAGCACCGGCUAACUUCGUG
rnacentral:rRNA from 1 species